GAUGAACGCUGGCGGCGUGCUUAACACAUGCAAGUCGAACGGAAAGGCCGAAGCUUGCUUCGGUACUCGAGUGGCGAACGGGUGAGUAACACGUGGGUGAUCUGCCCUGUACUUCGGGAUAAGCUUGGGAAACUGGGUCUAAUACCGGAUAUGACGAUCUCUUGGAUGGGGUUGUGGAAAGCUUUUGCGGUAUGGGAUGAGCUCGCGGCCUAUCAGCUUGUUGGUGGGGUAAUGGCCUACCAAGGCGUCGACGGGUAGCCGGCCUGAGAGGGUGUACGGCCACAUUGGGACUGAGAUACGGCCCAGACUCCUACGGGAGGCAGCAGUGGGGAAUAUUGCACAAUGGGCGCAAGCCUGAUGCAGCGACGCCGCGUGGGGGAGGACGGCCUUCGGGUUGUAAACUCCUUUCGCAAUCGACGAAGCCUUUUGGUGACGGUAGGUUGAGAAGAAGCACCGGCUAACUACGU
rnacentral:rRNA from 1 species